rnacentral:pre_miRNA from 1 species
AGCGAUCUUACCUCAUUCAGUGGUGUUGCGAUGCUGGAAGCGCUCAUCACAACCUGCAUGAAUGAGGUAAGGUCAUG